rnacentral:rRNA from 1 species
CGAACGGGUGAGUAACGCGUGAGGAACCUGCCUCAAAGAGGGGGACAACAGUUGGAAACGACUGCUAAUACCGCAUAAGCCCACGGCUCGGCAUCGAGCAGGGGGGAAAGGAGUAAUCCGCUUUGAGAUGGCCUCGCGUCCGAUUAGCUAGUUGGUGAGGUAAUGGCCCACCAAGGCGACGAUCGGUAGCCGGACUGAGAGGUUGAACGGCCACAUUGGGACUGAGACACGGCCCAG